GACGAACGCUGGCGGCGUGCCUAAUACAUGCAAGUCGAGCGAAUCGAUGGGAGCUUGCUCCCUGAGAUUAGCGGCGGACGGGUGAGUAACACGUGGGUAACCUGCCUGUAAGACUGGGAUAACUUCGGGAAACCGGAGCUAAUACCGGAUACUUUCUUUUCUCGCAUGAGGGAAGAUGGAAAGAUGGUUCUGCUAUCACUUACAGAUGGACCCGCGGCGCAUUAGCUAGUUGGUGAGGUAACGGCUCACCAAGGCAACGAUGCGUAGCCGACCUGGGGGGGUGAUCGGCCACACUGGGACUGAGAACCGGCCCAGACUCCUACGGGAGGCAGCAGUAGGGAAUCUUCCGCAAUGGACGAAAGUCUGACGGAGCAACGCCGCGUGAGCGAAGAAGGCCUUCGGGUCGUAAAGCUCUGUUGUUAGGGAAGAACAAGUACGAGAGUAACUGCUCGUACCUUGACGGUACCUAACCAGAAAGCCACGGCUAACUACGUGCCAGCCGCCGCCGUAAAAC
rnacentral:rRNA from 1 species